UACGUAGGCAGCGAGCGUUGUUCGGAGUUACUGGGCGUAAAGGGUGCGCAGGCGGUGGAGCAAGUCUGAUGUGAAAUCUCCCGGCUUAACUGGGAGGGUGCGGCGGAAACUGGGAUGCUAGAGGAUGGGAGAGGUAAGCGGAAUUCCUGGUGUAGCGGUGAAAUGCGUAGAUAUCAGGAGGAACACCUGUGGUGUAGACAGCUUACUGGACCAUUUCUGACGCUGAGACACGAAAGCGUGGGUAGCAAACAGG
rnacentral:rRNA from 1 species